UGGGAAACUUAGAUUUAGGUUGGAAGCCCUAGUUUGGAGAUUAUAAGCUCAAGAAAUGGCAAACAGAUCAAAAGUUCACUGAAGAUGAACUGACUUUUGACCAAAUAAAAAACCUUUGUGAAAGCAGUGCAAGCUAUCUAGUGGGCUCGAUCAGAGAUUGUGGCACAUCUACAUUAUAUCGCUGGUCCAGGGGAAGAUCGCAACCGAUUAAUUCCUUGAUCUGCCACCUUUGGUUAUGCACAGCAAAGAAGUAGCAAGCCCCACACUGACUCUGGAAAUCUGCCAGUGGGUGGCAAAGGACACGGCUCCCAUUCCUGUAUACCAGUGACAACUGAUCUGGUCACAAAGCUAGUCUAUGAGAAGUAACAGAAGAUAAAGAUGACAAGUGGUAGAAAUCAUGUUGACCUUCUCCUUCAUACACUUGUGACUAACUCAAUAGCGUUUGCUGUAUGAGAAUUCCUAUUGGAACAUGUAAUCUCCAUCACUCUGCCAAAGGAGAUAAACAUCCAAACCAGGUGAGAUCUUCUUAGGCAAAAGACAACCCCAGAAAAAGAUUUAUGCUGGAACCCUAU